rnacentral:lncRNA from 1 species
AUGUCGUCAAUGCCGCCGCUACCACCACCGUCACUACCAAACCAAAUACCUACAACAAGAACACACACAAAAUAACCCAACAAACCUAAGAUCCAGAUAGAUUUGGGUACAAAUCUAAACUCUCCACCCCCUAAACUCCACCUUCUCUACAAUCCAGUCAAGCUUUCCCCACAAAGAGAGCAGCAAGCUAGGAGAGGGAGAGAUUGA